rnacentral:tRNA from 1 species
GGAGCGGUAUCGAAGUGGUCAUAACGGGACUGACUCGAAAUCAGUUGUACCUCCGGGUACCGUGGGUUCGAAUCCCACCCGCUCCGCCA